UGGAUCCAGACUUUGAUUAUGGCUCAGGACGAACGCUGGCGGCGUGCCUAAUACAUGCAAGUCGAGCGAGCUUGCCUAGAUGAUUUUAGUGCUUGCACUAAGUGAAACUAGAUACAAGCGAGCGGCGGACGGGUGAGUAACACGUGGGUAACCUGCCCAAGAGACUGGGAUAACACCUGGAAACAGAUGCUAAUACCGGAUAACAACACUAGACGCAUGUCCAGAGUUUGAAAGAUGGUUCUGCUAUCACUCUUGGAUGGACCUGCGGUGCAUUAGCUAGUUGGUAAGGUAACGGCUUACCAAGGCAAUGAUGCAUAGCCGAGUUGAGAGACUGAUCGGCCACAUUGGGACUGAGACACGGCCCAAACUCCUACGGGAGGCAGCAGUAGGGAAUCUUCCACAAUGGACGAAAGUCUGAUGGAGCAACGCCGCGUGAGUGAAGAAGGGUUUCGGCUCGUAAAGCUCUGUUGGUAGUGAAGAAAGAUAGAGGUAGUAACUGGCCUUUAUUUGACGGUAAUUACUUAGAAAGUCACGGCUAACUACGUGCCAGCAGCCGCGGUAAUACGUAGGUGGCAAGCGUUGUCCGGAUUUAUUGGGCGUAAAGCGAGUGCAGGCGGUUCAAUAAGUCUGAUGUGAAAGCCUUCGGCUCAACCGGAGAAUUGCAUCAGAAACUGUUGAACUUGAGUGCAGAAGAGGAGAGUGGAACUCCAUGUGUAGCGGUGGAAUGCGUAGAUAUAUGGAAGAACACCAGUGGCGAAGGCGGCUCUCUGGUCUGCAACUGACGCUGAGGCUCGAAAGCAUGGGUAGCGAACAGGAUUAGAUACCCUGGUAGUCCAUGCCGUAAACGAUGAGUGCUAAGUGUUGGGAGGUUUCCGCCUCUCAGUGGUGCAGCUAACGCAUUAAGCACUCCGCCUGGGGAGUACGA
rnacentral:rRNA from 1 species